rnacentral:rRNA from 1 species
AUUGAACGCUGGCGGCAGGCCUAACACAUGCAAGUCGAGCGGUAGCACAGAGAGCUUGCUCUCGGGUGACGAGCGGCGGACGGGUGAGUAAUGUCUGGGAAACUGCCUGAUGGAGGGGGAUAACUACUGGAAACGGUAGCUAAUACCGCAUAAUGUCGCAAGACCAAAGUGGGGGACCCUCGGGCCUCAUGCCAUCAGAUGUGCCCAGAUGGGAUUAGCUAGUAGGUGGGGUAAUGGCUCACCUAGGCGGCGAUCCCUAGCUGGUCUGAGAGGAGGACCAGCCACACUGGAACUGAGACACGGUGCCGAUUCCUACGGGAGGCAGCAGUGGGGAAUAUUGCACAAUGGGCGCAAGCCUGAUGCAGCCAUGCCGCGUGUGUGAAGAAGGCCUUCGGGUUGUAAAGCACUUUCAGCGGGGAGGAAGGCGGUGAGGUUAAUAACCUCAUCGAUUGACGUUACCCGCAGAAGAAGCACCGGCUAACUCCGUGCCAGCAGCCGCCGUAA